CCUACGGGUGGCAGCAGUCGAGAAUCAUUCACAAUGGGGGAAACCCUGAUGGUGCGACGCCGCGUGGGGGAAUGAAGGUCUUCGGAUUGUAAACCCCUGUCAUGUGGGAGCAAAUUAAAAAGAUCGUACCACACGAGGAAGAGACGGCUAACUCUGUGCCAGCAGCCGCGGUAAUACAGAGGUCUCAAGCGUUGUUCGGAAUCACUGGGCGUAAAGCGUGCGUAGGCUGUUUCGUAAGUCGUGUGUGAAAGGCGCGGGCUCAACCCGCGGACGGCACAUGAUACUGCGAGACUAGAGUAAUGGAGGGGGAACCGGAAUUCUCGGUGUAGCAGUGAAAUGCGUAGAUAUCGAGAGGAACACUCGUGGCGAAGGCGGGUUCCUGGACAUUAACUGACGCUGAGGCACGAAGGCCAGGGGAGCGAAAGGGAUUAGAUACCUUAGUAGUC
rnacentral:rRNA from 1 species